AUUGCCAGUUACCAGCGGGUUAUGCCGGGGACUCUGGUGAGACUGCCGGGGACAACUCGGAGGAAGGUGGGGGAAUGACGUCAAAUCAUCAUGCCCCUUAUGUCUUGGGCUACACACGUGCUACAAUGGCUGAAACAAAGGGGUGCAACAACGUAAGUUGAAGCGGAUCUCACAAAAACAGUCCCAGUUCGGAUUGUGGGCUGCAACCCGCCCACAUGAAGUCGGAGUUGCUAGUAAUCGCGGAUCAGCAUGCCGCGGUGAAUACGUUCCCGGGCCUU
rnacentral:rRNA from 1 species